UACGAAGGGGGCUAGCGUUGUUCGGAAUUACUGGGCGUAAAGCGUGCGCAGGCGGUUCGUUAAGUCAGAUGUGAAAGCCCCGGGCUCAACCUGGGAACUGCAUUUGAAACUGGCGGGCUUGAGUGUGGCAGAGGGGGGUGGAAUUCCGCGUGUAGCAGUGAAAUGCGUAGAGAUGCGGAGGAACACCGAUGGCGAAGGCAGCCCCCUGGGCCAACACUGACGCUCAGGCACGAAAGCGUGGGGAGCAAACAGG
rnacentral:rRNA from 1 species